rnacentral:rRNA from 1 species
AGAACGAACGCUGGCGGCAGGCUUAACACAUGCAAGUCGAGCGCCCCGCAAGGGGAGCGGCAGACGGGUGAGUAACGCGUGGGAAUCUACCCAUCUCUACGGAAUAACGCAUGGAAACGUGUGCUAAUACCGUAUACGUCCUUCGGAGAAAGAUUAUCGGAGAUGGAUGAGCCCGCGUUGGAUUAGCUAGUUGGUGGGGUAAAGGCCUACCAAGGCGACGAUCCAUAGCUGGUCUGAGAGGAUGAGUCAGCCACACGUGGACUGAGACACGGCCCACGACUCCUACGGGAGGCGAGCGAGUGGGAAUAGUUGGACGAAUGGGCGCGAAGCCGUAGACUCCGAAGCC